GAUGAACGCUGGCGGCGUGCCUAAUACAUGCAAGUCGAGCGAACAGACGAGGAGCUUGCUCCUCUGACGUUAGCGGCGGACGGGUGAGUAACACGUGGAUAACCUACCUAUAAGACUGGGAUAACUUCGGGAAACCGGAGCUAAUACCGGAUAAUAUAUUGAACCGCAUGGUUCAAUAGUUAAAGACGGUUUUGCUGUCACUUAUAGAUGGAUCCGCGCCGCAUUAGCUAGUUGGUAAGGUAACGGCUUACCAAGGCAACGAUGCGUAGCCGACCUGAGAGGGUGAUCGGCCACACUGGAACUGAGACACGGUCCAGACUCCUACGGGAGGCAGCAGUAGGGAAUCUUCCGCAAUGGGCGAGAGCCUGACGGAGCAACGCCGCGUGAGUGAUGAAGGUCUUCGGAUCGUAAAACUCUGUUAUUAGGGAAGAACAAAUGUGUAAGUAACUAUGCACGUCUUGACGGUACCUAAUCAGAAAGCCACGGCUAACUACGUG
rnacentral:rRNA from 1 species